rnacentral:rRNA from 1 species
GUCUAAGGCCAAGCCACCCCGAAUGAGCCUGAUGUCUAAUCUUGGAAGCUAAGCAGGGUCAGGCCUGGUUAGUACUUGGAUGGGAGACCACCUCGGAUGACCAGGUGCUGUAGGCA